GCAGUCGAGGGGAACGAUAUUGGAAGCUUGCUUCCGAUAGGCGUCGACCGGCGCUCGGGUGAGUAACGCGUAUCCAACCUGCCCACCACUUGGGGAUAACCUUGCGAAAGUAAGACUAAUACCCAAUGAUAUCUCUAGAAGACAUCUGAAAGAGAUUAAAGAUUUAUCGGUGAUGGAUGGGGAUGCGUCUGAUUAGCUUGUUGGCGGGGUAACGGCCCACCAAGGCAACGAUCAGUAGGGGUUCUGAGAGGAAGGUCCCCCACAUUGGAACUGAGACACGGUCCAAACUCCUACGGGAGGCAGCAGUGAGGAAUAUUGGUCAAUGGACGAGAGUCUGAACCAGCCAAGUAGCGUGCAGGAAGACGGCCCUAUGGGUUGUAAACUGCUUUUAUAAGGGAAUAAAGUUAGUCUCGUGAGACUUUUUGCAUGUACCUUAUGAAUAAGGACCGGCUAAUUCCGUGCCAGCAGCCGCGGUAAUACGGAAGGUCCGGGCGUUAUCCGGAUUUAUUGGGUUUAAAGGGAGCGUAGGCCGGAGAUUAAGCGUGUUGUGAAAUGUAGACGCUCAACGUCUGCACUGCAGCGCGAACUGGUUUCCUUGAGUACGCACAAAGUGGGCGGAAUUCGUGGUGUAGCGGUGAAAUGCUUAGAUAUCACGAAGAACUCCGAUUGCGAAGGCAGCUCACUGGAGCGCAACUGACGCUGAAGCUCGAAAGUGCGGGUAUCGAACAGGAUUAGAUACCCUGGUAGUCCGCACGGUAAACGAUGGAUGCCCGCUGUUGGUCUGAAUAGGUCAGCGGCCAAGCGA
rnacentral:rRNA from 1 species